CUCUCGCCAUAGAAAACAAAGCUGAACGUCUUCCAUAACAGCUAGGGGUGCAGACUUGAGGAAUAUCCGAAUUUAGCCUGGAUACAUUAUGCUGAAUAUGGAUUUACAGGGGGUGUAGCAUCGUUGGAGACCAAGCCUUCUCGGCUGGGGUGACGGCAGGACAUUAGCGAAACCGACGAAAAUAACAUCAGUAUUUUUUUUCUCGGGUUGCUUUGUCUUGUCCACCUAACGAUAGCAAACCAUCAUUCCCAUUUCAAUUGCAACACAUUCAGCUAGUGAUUACUAGCUGCUGCCGGGACGUAUCACCAUGUUGUCACCUAAAAGUAACUGCUAGGACGUCGGAUUGUGAAGGAUAAGCAGAAACCCUAUCUUACGGGUGUCACCGGGACCUGAACCUGUGUUAACCACAGCCGCGGAACCCACUGUUUUCGGCGAUAUGGCGGAGCAGGGCUACACAUCUUGGGCGUACUCCCUAGUUGACUCCAGCCAGGUGUCCACCUUCCUCAUCUCCAUCCUUCUCAUCGUCUAUGGCAGCUUCAGAUCAUUAAACAU